rnacentral:rRNA from 1 species
AAUAGAUACCCCGGUAGUCCACGCCGUAAACGAUGAGUGCUAGGUGUUGGGGGCAUCAGGCCCUCUGUGCCGAAGGAAACCCAAUAAGCACUCCGCCUGGGGAGUACGGCCGCAAGGCUGAAACUCAAAGGAAUUGACGGGGGCCCGCACAAGCGGUGGAGCAUGUGGUUUAAUUCGAAGCAACGCGAAGAACCUUACCAGGGCUUGACAUCCCGCUGACCGGUGCAGAGAUGCACCUUCCCUUCGGGGCAGCGGAGACAGGUGGUGCAUGGUUGUCGUCAGCUCGUGUCGUGAGAUGUUGGGUUCAGUCCUGCAACGAGCGCAACCCCUGCCCUUAGUUGCCAGCGGGUGAAGCCGGGCACUCUAGGGGGACAGCCGGUGAAAGCCGGAGGAAGGUGGGGAUGACGUCAAAUCAUCAUGCCCCUUAUGUCCUGGGCUACACACGUGCUACAAUGGCCGGUACAAAGGGCAGCGAACCCGUGAGGGGGAGCCAAUCCCAAAAAGCCGGUCUCAGUUCGGAUCGCAGG